rnacentral:rRNA from 1 species
GAUGAACGCUGGCGGCGUGCCUAAUACAUGCAAGUCGAGCGAACGGACGAGAAGCUUGCUUCUCUGAUGUUAGCGGCGGACGGGUGAGUAACACGUGGAUAACCUACCUAUAAGACUGGGAUAACUUCGGGAAACCGGAGCUAAUACCGGAUGAUAUUUUGAACCGCAUGGUUCAAAAGUGAAAGACGGUCUUGCUGUCACUUAUAGAUGGAUCCGCGCUGCAUUAGCUAGUUGGUAAGGUAACGGCUUACCAAGGCAACGAUGCAUAGCCGACCUGAGAGGGUGAUCAGCCACACUAGAUCUGAGACACGGUCCAGACUCCUACGGGAGGCAGCAGUAGGGAAUCUUCCGCAAUGGGCGAAAGCCUGACGGAGCAACGCCGCGUGAGUGAUGAAGGUCUUCGGAUCGUAAAACUCUGUUAUUAGGGAAGAACAUAUGUGUAAGUAACUAUGCACAUCUUGACGGUACCUAAUCAGAAAGCCACGGCUAACUACGUG